CCCUAGGUAUCCCAAUGGCAUCUAUGUAAAUGUGGGGGUCAAAACUGCCUUUUACUGGGGUUUCGUGCCUUACUCUGGCUGAUGUAUGUGGAGGGUCGUAUGUGUCAUGAUGAUUAUCAGAAAUAAUAUGAAUGGGCAUGAUAACUUUGGCCAGGGUACACUCACCCCACCACUCAGUUUCCAGCCUAGAUCUUAACUGUAG